UUUAAUUGAAGAGUUUGAUCAUGGCUCAGAUUGAACGCUGGCGGCAGGCCUAACACAUGCAAGUCGAGCGGUAACAUUUCUAGCUUGCUAGAAGAUGACGAGCGGCGGACGGGUGAGUAAUGCUUGGGAACAUGCCUUGAG
rnacentral:rRNA from 1 species